CUAAAAUUAUUAUUCAAAAAUUCUUCAUUCAUAGCUAUGGUGAAACCUCUGUUUAGUUCUGUUAGGUUUAAAUAAUGAAUGUCAUGGUUGCAUUGGCCAUUGCGUUUUUUUCCCAAAACACCACAUCCAUCACAAGUACAAAGUAAGUCAGUGCCACUUUCAUGUAUUUGUUUUUCUUCUGGGGUGUGAGGGGUUCUUGUUUUAUGUCAUGUCUUGUGCCGAGGUCUGUAUGGGACUCCAAAGGGAUUCUCACCUGUGUGAAGAGAAGCUGUGAACCCAUCACGCCGACAGGGAGCUUUGUGAAGACAGGCAUGAAGCAGUCUGCACCCACAGCACACGUCAUUGCCCGUUAGGAGAAGCUGAACGCACUAAAGAGCCUCUCCCUCCGCCUGCGUACCGUCAGAACAGAAGCCGCCGCUGCCUGGUUCCUGCUGUCUCAGCCGUGGAAAUCUGCAUUCUGAUCUGGCAGACGAUCGCCUGCAAAUUCCCACAUCUCUCUGAUAUAUCUGGUCAGGCACUGCAUCAUUUCAUGGUUAGCCCCUGGUCUCUGCCCUGGCCUGAAGUCAUCGCUCGGUUAGGCAGCUGCCAGGCCAGCCCUGAGGGUCCCCAGUGGUGAGUAAAGGAGUCAGGGGUUAGUCGCUGGAUGUGGAAGGCAUUGCCUCUGCUCUCAUGUCCAAUUAGGAGCUUUUUUUAAACA